rnacentral:tRNA from 1 species
AGGAAUGUGGCAGAGAGGUUAUGCGACUGAUUUGAAGACAGUACACGAGGGUUCAACUCCUUCUAUUCUUG